rnacentral:lncRNA from 1 species
AAACAAUUUUGUUUCUAAAGUACUAACUUUAUUUCUUAAAAUAACUUCAUCCUCAAGAAAUUUAUCAUAUUUCAAUUUCAAUUCAUUGUGCUCUUUCUUAAGUAUCUUCUUAGUCGGGCAUUAGACAAAUAUUAGCUUGCUCAUCUGAAUCACUUGAGCUUGUUGAGCUGGAAGCAUUGUCCUCCCAAGCUAUGUAAGCUUUCUUUUUCUUUUGGAAUUUGCUUUCCUUCUUGUCAUCACUUUUCUUAUUCUUUGGACAUUCAGUUUUCAAGUGUCCUCUUUCUCCACAUCCAUAGCAUUUUACACUUGAAGGAUAUUCUUGAUUUUCUCUCCUCUCUUUACGAAAUUUGUGCUUUCCUUUUGCCUUCAUAAACUUGGCAAAUUUCUUUAUCAUGAGGCUCAUGUUCUCCUCAUCAUCAGAAUCAUCAUCUUCAAAACUUUUUGAACUUUUCCCU